rnacentral:rRNA from 1 species
AGAGCUUCGGUUCUAUGAGAGUGGCGUACGGGUGCGUAACGCGUAUGCAACCUACCUUCAUCAGGGGGAUAGCCCGAAGAAAUUCGGAUUAACACCGCAUARCAUUAUUGAAUGGYAUCAUUUAAUGAUCAAAUAUUUAUAGGAUGAAGAUGGGCAUGCGUGUCAUUAGCUAGUUGGUGAGGUAAUGGCUCASCAAGGCGACGAUGACUAGGGGAUCUGAGAGGAUGACCCCCCACACUGGUACUGAGACACGGACCAGACUCCUACGGGAGGCAGCAGUAAGGAAUAUUGGUCAAUGGAGGCAACUCUGAACCAGCCAUGCCGCGUGCAGGAAGACUGCCCUAUGGGUUGUAAACUGCUUUUAUACGGGAAUAAACCUUAGUUCGUGAACUAAGCUGAAUGUACUGUAAGAAUAAGGAUCGGCUAACUCCGUGCCAGCAGCCGCGGUAAUACGGAGGAUCCAAGCGUUAUCCGGAUUUAUUGGGUUUAAAGGGAGCGUAGGCGGUCUGUCGCGUCGGCUGUGAAAUCCCGAGGCUCAAYCUCGGGUCUGCAGUCGAUACGGGCAAACUAGAGUACUGCAGGGGAGACUGGAAUUCCUAGUGUAGCGGUGAAAUGCGCAGAUAUCAGAGGAACAYCGGUGGCGAAGGCGGGUCUCUGGGCAGUAACUGACGCUGAGGAGCGAAAGCGUGGGGAGCGAACAGGAUUAGAUACCCUGGUAGUCCACGCCGUAAACGUUGGGCGCUAGGUGUGGGGGCCAUUCCACGGUCUCCGUGCCGCAGCUAACGCAUUAAGCGCCCCGCCUGGGGAGUACGGCCGCAAGGCUAAAACUCAAAGGAAUUGACGGGGGCCCGCACAAGCGGCGGAGCAUGUUGCUUAAUUCGAUGCAACGCGAAGAACCUUACCUAGGCUUGACAUGCACGGAAAUCUCGUAGAGAUACGGGGUGCCUUUGGCGUCGUGCACAGGUGGUGCAUGGUUGUCGUCAGCUCGUGUCGUGAGAUGUUGGGUUAAGUCCCGCAACGAGCGCAACCCUCGUUCUAUGUUGCCAGCACGUGAUGGUGGGGACUCAUAGGAGACUGCCGGGGUCAACUCGGAGGAAGGUGGGGAUGACGUCAAAUCAUCAUGCCCCUUAUGUCUAGGGCUGCAAACAUGCUACAAUGGCCGGUACAAAGGGCUGCGAUACCGCGAGGUGGAGCGAAUCCCAAAAAGCCGGUCUCA